rnacentral:SRP_RNA from 1 species
GCCAGGCGUGGUGGCUCACGCCUGUAAUCCCAGCACUUUGGGAGGCUAAGGCGGGUGGAUCACCUGAGGUCAGGAGUUCUAGACCAGCCUGGCCAACAUGGUGAAACCCUGUCUCUA